rnacentral:sRNA from 1 species
GUGGCUUCGUGGUCGUUGCUCUAAUGAGCGU